GGGUUGUGAGGUUAAGCGACUAAGCGUACACGGUGGAUGCCCUGGCAGUCAGAGGCGAUGAAGGGCGUGCUAAUCUGCGAUAAGCGCCGGUAAGGUGAUAUGAACCGUUAUAACCGGCGAUACCCGAAUGGGGAAACCCAGUGUGAUUCGUCACACUAUCAUUAACUGAAUCCAUAGGUUAAUGAGGCGAACCGGGGGAACUGAAACAUCUAAGUACCCCGAGGAAAAGAAAUCAACCGAGAUUCCCCCAGUAGCGGCGAGUGAACGGGGAGGAGCCCAGAGCCUGAAUCAGCAUGUGUGUUAGUGGAAGCGUCUGGAAAGGCGCGCGAUACAGGGUGACAGCCCCGUACACAAAAGCGCAUGUGCUGUGAGCUCGAUGAGUAGGGCGGGACACGUGGUAUCCUGUCUGAAUAUGGGGGGACCAUCCUCCAAGGCUAAAUACUCCUGACUGACCGAUAGUGAACCAGUACCGUGAGGGAAAGGCGAAAAGAACCCCGGCGAGGGGAGUGAAAAAGAACCUGAAACCGUGUACGUACAAGCAGUGGGAGCCCCACCACUAAGCCAGUGGUGAACUCCACAUCCGCAUCCUUUGCUGAGGAUACGGUUAACGGAGCGAAAGCGACGUUCAACCGCAAAACAAGCAGAGGGGGCUUAG
rnacentral:rRNA from 1 species